GUGGGGAAUAUUGGACAAUGGGCGAAAGCCUGAUCCAGCCAUGCCGCGUGUGUGAAGAAGGCCUUUUGGUUGUAAAGCACUUUAAGCGAGGAGGAGGCUACCGAGAUUAAUACUCUUGGAUAGUGGACGUUACUCGCAGAAUAAGCACCGGCUAACUCUGUGCCAGCAGCCGCGGUAAUACAGAGGGUGCGAGCGUUAAUCGGAUUUACUGGGCGUAAAGCGUGCGUAGGCGGCUUUUUAAGUCGGAUGUGAAAUCCCUGAGCUUAACUUAGGAAUUGCAUUCGAUACUGGGAAGCUAGAGUAUGGGAGAGGAUGGUAGAAUUCCAGGUGUAGCGGUGAAAUGCGUAGAGAUCUGGAGGAAUACCGAUGGCGAAGGCAGCCAUCUGGCCUAAUACUGACGCUGAGGUACGAAAGCAUGGGGAGCAAACAGGAUUAGAUACCCCAGUAGUCC
rnacentral:rRNA from 1 species